CGGGAUGUGGCGCAGCCUGGUAGCGCACCUGCUUUGGGAGCAGGGGGUCGGGAGUUCGAAUCUCCCCAUCCCGACCA
rnacentral:tRNA from 1 species